rnacentral:misc_RNA from 1 species
GACACAGCUUUAUGAAAAAGCAGGUUGGAUAUAAAUAGUCACCAGAUAUCUCUUCACGGUCAGAGUAUCAUGAAUGGUUCUCUGUCACAUUUUCUUAAAUGCUGCUGCUUUACCACAUGAACCUAUCCUGUUUAAUAAGGAAAGUAAAGAGAGGAUAAAUAAUGAGCUUAUUUAUAUAUACUGCUGUGCAUUUGAAAUACUGCAUUUUACUUGUCCAAUUGUGCUGCUUUUCAAAUAACAAAAAUUGCAAAUGGAAAUCACCUAU